UACGUAGGGUGCAAGCGUUGUCCGGAAUUAUUGGGCGUAAAGAGCGUGUAGGCGGCCCGGUUAGUCCGCUGUGAAAGUCCAGGGCUCAACCCUGGAAUGCCGGUGGAUACUGUCGGGCUAGAGUCCGGAAGGGGCGAGUGGAAUUCCUGGUGUAGCGGUGAAAUGCGCAGAUAUCAGGAGGAACACCAAUGGUGAAGGCAGCUCGCUGGGACGUUACUGACGCUGAGACGCGAAAGCGUGGGGAGCAAACAGG
rnacentral:rRNA from 1 species